GGAGGUGUAUCGAAGUGGUCAUAACGGGACUGACUCGAAAUCAGUUGAGGGGCAACUCUCCGUGGGUUCGAAUCCCACCGCCUCCG
rnacentral:tRNA from 1 species